GAUUUCUUCUCCUUAUUAUUUACUUCCUUCUGCCAACUUUGGGUUCAAGUUGUUCCUUUUCUAACUUUGUAAAUGAAAGCUUAGUUUAUUAAUUUUCAGCCUUUCUUUUCUACUGUAUGCAUUUAAGGCUAUAAAUUUCCUUCUAAGCACAGUUUUAGCUAUAUUCUACAAUCUUAUUUUUUCAUAACUGUCCCAUGAGGUAGGUAUUUUUACUUUCUUUUUGCAGAUGAGAAACUAAAGAUUAAGUAACUUGCUCAAAAGUAUAAAAGGUGAUAGGAGUUCCUGCCAUGGCACAGCAGAAAAAAAUCUGACUAGGAACCAUGAGGCUACGGGUUUGAUCCCUGGUCUCGCUCAGUGGGUUAAGGAUCUGGCAUUGCCGUGAGCUGUGGUGUAGGUUGCAGACGUGGCUCAGAUCUGGCAUUGCUAUGGCGGUGGUGUAGGCCAACAGCUGUAACUCCGAUUUGAUCCCUAGCCUGGGAACCUCCAUUUGCUGUAGGUAGGACCCAAAAAAAAAAAAAAAAAAAGCUUCAAGUAAAGAAAGAUUUAUAAAAUUCCUUCGCUGUAUCUAUUUUCAGUGGAUUCAUUCCAUUCAACCUUCCGUGGACCCUUGCUACCACACAGGGAUACCCCAGAGGACCGCUGUUCUUUCAUCUUAGCGGGAUGUUGUGAAUGUCUGAACACAAUUCUGCCCCCAGGAGGCAAGAAUGGUGGCAGUGAUGGUGGUGGUUCAUCAGUCUGGUUUAGGGAAUCUCUUGGUAUACCUUACCAGGAAGGCCCAUUUUUAAGGAAAAAUACACAGACAUUCAUACAAUUCAAAUAAACUAACCCUAUAAAGCUACACUGAACACAAUUUAAUUUUUGAUGACUCAGAAAUCAUUUUUUACACUACAAAGGGCUCUCAGGGCCAAAAUUUGGAAGACUUGCCCCAAAUUUGCCACUGAACAGCUGUGGGACUUUGAGCAUCUUCUCAGCAUCCCACUACCUUCGCCUCAAGAGUGUCAAAUUAAAAAGACUAGUUCUCUGAGUUUAAAAUGUUUUAAAAGAACCUCCUACUGGCAAGAGAUCAUGGGAGAACUUGAGUGGAUUAAAGCCAAGUUAUCCUUAGAGUAAAGUUAUUUGCAGUGACCUUGAUGGCUGCAAAGUACUUCCCUACUUCAUCGGCUCUAACCUUUGCAGCCCCCUGUGAGGUCCUCAAAGUUCAGGUCUGAACUCAUCUUCAGGGGCUCCCUGUGAAACAAGCUCCAAUCCACGUAAAGCCCCUGCUUCUGAGCACGUCCACAUCACAGAGAUUCCUGAACAACGCUGGUGACAAAGGAUGUCACCGGUGCUACAGGCCUGAACACAUAAAUGCUAAAGUUUAAAGUGAACAUCAUUAGCAAUUAACACAUGUAUUUUACAAAAAUGAGUAACAAGAGGCGUGGCUGUCAGUGAUCACAGCCUCAUGCACUGUGACAGGCACUCUGAUCUUGGGCCCCAGGGCUUCCCACUGAAGACCCCUUAUCAUGGCAGCUGGGAAGUCAGGCCUGGUGACAACUCUGGGAGUUCAGUGGACUAUGAAAUAUUAGGUGGGAGCAGUACAGUUGCUAAUGGCUUAAUCCUGCUUCCAAACAUGGGCAGAGGAAAGAGUUUCUCUAAACACAAAAGAUUCCUCAAGUUUUUCUCUCAAGGUUAGAAGUGACCUCAUAACUGACCAUGUGACUGGGGAGCCAGCUUGCCGAUCAUGCAACGUGCUCUCUAGCAGAUGAGCUACUCCUGACUCAGAUGAUGCAGGAGAGUUACCCCCCUCCCAGGCCUCAAGGCCCACUUUUGCCACCUGUGGGGCUCCAAGGAGAGCUCAGACCUGAGACCCUUGCACCUCCCUUCUCCCUGGAACUGCCUCCCAGAUGACUGUCAAGCUCAUUAUUCAUUUAAGGUCAAGAUCAAGUACUACCUCCUCCAUGAAGCCCUCCAUCAUUCCCAGUCAAAAUUAAGUUUUGCUGUCUGACCUACCCCGAGGGCCGUGUUUCUCUCUUACAGGACUCCUUCCACUCAACCUUAUUAGUCAUCCACGCAUCUGCCUCUACCAUGAGACAGGAUCCCUGAGGACAGGGACCACAUGAUACUUCUGCAGCGGAUCCUAGCACAAAGUUAGUUGUACUGAAUAUGAGAGUCCUACUUUCUCCAUCUGGUCCAUGAGAUGACAGGAACUGAGCUGGGCUUGACACAAGACACAGGAAGCCUGGGCCUCUGACUCUGUGGUCACCAGGCCCUGGGCUCUAGGAGUGACAGAAAACUUGUCCCUUCUGCCCCAGCUGCACAACCAAAACAUGCGCAGCACCAGGACUCAUCACCGCUGAGCCCUCUCUGGAGCUGGCACACUGCUGGUCCUUGAGUCCUCAUGUCUCACAGAGCCCAGCAUGGAUGAGACACUCCCAAAGUACACGGUGCCCGUGUUGACACUCCGCUGAGUGAAGAAGAACAUGAGUGAGUGAAUGAAUUUUAGAUUAAUUGACGUGUUUUAAAAAUGCACUUGGAAGUAUGAAAGUACGUCAUCUAAAAGAAUAAGGAACACGCUGAUAAAAACAAAAACACCUCC
ensembl:lncRNA